AUAUAAAAGUACAAUAUGUGGAAAUUUGAUUGAAAAAUAAUAUAAGUUAAGGUGUUGGCAGUGUCGUGAAAUAGACCGUCUACAAGAUAUGGUUUUCGGGGUAGUCAUGAUAACUUAUUCAAUUUUUAUCUGAAAUCAAAGAUCCAAAUAUUUUGUUAAAGUAGCCCACAAGCAUUACACAUAUGGUAAAAACCUUCUCGGCGUCGGUAUUUGGAGCGACAUUUCCAAAUCCAACUGAUGUUAAUGAUGUAAAGGUAAAGUAGAGAGCGAUGUGCAUUGAGUUAGGACGAUACCCCACGAAAUCGAUGCUUGUAAUCGUCGCUACCACUUUUUUCACCUUCUCAAAUAUUCGAACCGUAACGUGUGUCUUAUAAAUGGGACGAGAUUACCAAUUUUUUCCUAGCUAGACAGUUCCUUGGUAUAGAACUUGUGUCGUACAUUAAAAAGUGACCGGCUAUUACUUCUGUUGCUAUGCUAAUGGAUAAGAUAACAUCUGGUCACGUUCCAAAUAAUCUCAUUUAGCCAUCUGGUGUUUGCUUUUUCGACAAAGGCCAGUUUUAGCAUAUAAUUUGCAGUGGACAAAAGAACACAUGCAUCGCGUACGUAGAUUAUUGCAGAUAGAAGGGUUCCUUCCACUUUAAGUGUGGUAUUGCUACACUGUUGAGAUCUGAUGGCAGCUGGCAUAGUCGAGCUAUGGGCUGUAAAGAUGGCAUUAACUUCAUGAUCGUGGGCGUUUGCGUUUUCCCAUUCGCACCUGCUUGGGAUUCUUGUGGAGAUUGUCGAAGCACCUACUGGAGGUGGUGCAAUCCAGCUCCGCCGCCACUUUUGCCUGAUAUAUUUUAGCGUGCUCUUCCUCCGAGGAUGAGUAGCAUUCAAUCCGUUGAAUCUUAGUGACAAUUACAGCGAUGAUAUACUGUAUAUUAUUGUUAUUAAAUUCGCUUUUUAAUAUGGUGUCAGGCCAAAUAAUUUUAUUAAUUUCAACUAAUUUACUUGAUAACAAUUUAUUGCAUUCUGAUGCAUAGUUUAUAUACAUAAAUAUGUAGUGUACAUACUCAUAUAUAAAUACAAAUGCACAUACAAAACUUGUGAUCGUAACUCCAUAUUUUCCUUCAAAUAAGGGCACUUUAGUUAACCAUUAAUAAUUGGCGCUUUGUAAUCGCUUAAGCGAUUUCCGGCCGAGCUUUUUCUC